rnacentral:rRNA from 1 species
CCUACGGGAGGCAGCAGUGAGGAAUAUUGGUCAAUGGGCGGGAGCCUGAACCAGCCAAGUCGCGUGAGGGAAGAAGGUACUGAGUAUUGUAAACCUCUUUUGCCAGGGGACAAAGGCGGCCACGGGUGGCCGUAAGAGGGUACCUGGAGAAAAAGCAUCGGCUAACUCCGUGCCAGCAGCCGCGGUAAUACGGAGGAUGCGAGCGUUAUCCGGAUUUAUUGGGUUUAAAGGGUGCGCAGGCGGCGUGUCAAGUCAGCGGUAAAAUCGCGGGGCUCAACCCCGCUCCGCCGUUGAAACUGUGUCCCUUGAGUGCGCGAAGGGUAGGCGGAAUGCGUGGUGUAGCGGUGAAAUGCAUAGAUAUCACGCAGAACUCCGAUCGCGAAGGCAGCCUACCGGCGCGCAACUGACGCUCAUGCACGAAAGCGUGGGUAUCGAACAGGAUUAGAUACCCGAGUAGUC